rnacentral:rRNA from 1 species
AGCCGGCGGACGGGUGAGUAACGCGUGGGAAUGUGCCCUUUGGUACGGAACAACUGAGGGAAACUUCAGCUAAUACCGUAUGUGCCCCCCUUCUUAGCGGAAGGGGCGGGAAAGAUUUAUCGCCAUUGGAGCAGCCCGCGUUGGAUUAGCUAGUUGGUAGGGUAAAGGCCUACCAAGGCUACGAUCCAUAGCUGGUCUGAGAGGAUGAUCAGCCACACUGGGACUGAGACACGGCCCAGACUCCUACGGGAGGCAGCAGUAGGGAAUCUUGCGCAAUGGGCGAAAGCCUGACGCAGCCAUGCCGCGUGAAUGAUGAAGGUCUUAGGAUUGUAAAAUUCUUUCCCGGGGAAGAUAAUGACGGUACCCGGAGAAGAAGCCCCGGCUAACUU